rnacentral:rRNA from 1 species
AUACCAGCUGGCUGCAACUGUUUAUUAAAAACACAGCACUGUGCAAACACGAAAGUGGACGUAUACGGUGUGACGCCUGCCCGGUGCCGGAAGGUUAAUUGAUGGGGUUAUCCGUAAGGAGAAGCUCUUGAUCGAAGCCCCGGUAAACGGCGGCCGUAACUAUAACGGUCCUAAGGUAGCGAAAUUCCUUGUCGGGUAAGUUCCGACCUGCACGAAUGGCGUAAUGAUGGCCAGGCUGUCUCCACCCGAGACUCAGUGAAAUUGAACUCGCUGUGAAGAUGCAGUGUACCCGCGGCAAGACGGAAAGACCCCGUGAACCUUUACUAUAGCUUGACACUGAACACUGGUCCUUGAUGUGUAGGAUAGGUGGGAGGCUUUGAAGUGUGGACGCCAGUCUGCAUGGAGCCGCCCUUGAAAUACCACCCUUUAAUGGCUGGUGUUCUAACGUAGGCCCGUUACCCGGGUUGCGGACAGUGUCUGGUGGGUAGUUUGACUGGGGCGGUCUCCUCCUAAAGAGUAACGGAGGAGCACGAAGGUUAGCUAAUCCUGGUCGGACAUCAGGAGGUUAGUGCAAAGGCAUAAGCUAGCUUGACUGCGAGCGUGACGGCGCGAGCAGGUGCGAAAGCAGGUCUUAGUGAUCCGGUGGUUCUGAAUGGAAGGGCCAUCGCUCAACGGAUAAAAGGUACUCCGGGGAUAACAGGCUGAUACCGCCCAAGAGUUCAUAUCGACGGCGGUGUUUGGCACCUCGAUGUCGGCUCAUCACAUCCUGGGGCUGAAGUAGGUCCCAAGGGUAUGGCUGUUCGCCAUUUAAAGUGGUACGCGAGCUGGGUUUAGAACGUCGUGAGACAGUUCGGUCCCUAUCUGCCGUGGGCGCUGGAGAAUUGAGGGGGGCUGCUCCUAGUACGAGAGGACCGGAGUGGACGCAUCACUGGUGUUCGGGUUGUCAUGCCAAUGGCACUGCCCGGUAGCUAAAUGCGGAAGAGAUAAGUGCUGAAAGCAUCUAAGCACGAAACUUGCC